rnacentral:lncRNA from 1 species
AGCACAUAGCACUGGCUGGUUAUAAAGGACUUGUCUAGGGGAGAGCCUAUGGAUCUGAGAACGCUGUCUGGGCUUGGUACCAAGAGCUGGUAUUUCACAGCAGCGACCGCCUCACAGACGAGCUGUGGGAAGCAGGAGGGAGACUCUCUCUUAGGGUGCCACUACUAUGGAGACACAGCUGGGCUGAACAAGAUUUGCUUCAAACGACAACAAGAGAGACAGAAAGUAUCUGGUUCAACCGCUGCCCGAGCAGGCAGGCACCAGAAGAGCUAGCAGCCAAUCCGGCCAUGCUCGAAGCCAGCUCUGCAGCUCAGCCAAUCAGUGACAUCAUUGCUUUCUUUAGCUUGCCCAUGGUGAUGUGAAGAUGAGAAGAAAUAGCAAGGCCCAACCAGUUCUUCAUCUGGAGACAGUUCAACGUUCUGCAAACCAGAUCUUCAGGAAUUUUACUGGGAUAAUUAUCCAAAUAAAUUGCAAGCAUUCUAUCCAAAUGGAGCUCUUUCUGAGAUGAAGAGAAUUCUCAAUGUCAAGAUUUGAACAAGAAGAGAAUGGAAUACACAAUAUGGACAUCCAUAAAAAUUCAU